UACGUAGGGUGCGAGCGUUAAUCGGAAUUACUGGGCGUAAAGCGUGCGCAGGCGGUUCGUUAAGUUCGUUGUGAAAGCCCCGGGCUCAACCUGGGAACUGCAAUGGAAACUGGCGGGCUUGAGUGUGGCAGAGGGGGGGUGGAAUUCCGCGUGUAGCAGUGAAAUGCGUAGAGAUGCGGAGGAACACCGAUGGCGAAGGCAGCCCCCCUGGGCUAACACUGACGCUCAUGCACGAAAGCGUGGGGGAGCAAACAGG
rnacentral:rRNA from 1 species